GCAACACGACCAGACAACCAUGGACUGAACCCUCUGAAACCAUGAGGCAAAGUGAAUUUUUCCUCUUUAUGCCAGCUCCAGGGCCACAGAUGACAGGCCAAAUAUAGUCAAAGAUGAAGAUUAAUUAGUAAAAUGCUUCAGCUUUCCAGAAAGGACAGUAGAAGCCAGUUCCUGGGGAUGCUAUAUUUCUUGGAUACCAAUGUAGAUUGCUCACAGAUUUCUGAUGGAUGCCUGGUGCAGGGUCAUUCCUGACUGCAUUUCUGUGGAAGUAUAAGCCAAGUCUGUAAACUGAAAUGGAGAAUGGAUCCUAAACUUUUGAUGAAGUUGUGGUUCAGAACAGGAUCACCCUGGAUGGAAUGCUUGCUUCUGAGUUAUGGAUGAACCACAAGGUUAACAGAGAGGACCUUGGAGACUGAAUAUGUCCAGCAGAAGAAGCAAAGUCUAGUUCAUGAUCAG
rnacentral:lncRNA from 1 species